AUGUCUCCCUCCGGGGAGGUGGUCGCCUCCGUCUCCUCCGCGCUCGCCGUCCUGCUCGUCCUCCUCGCCUGCGUCGAGCUCGGCGACGCGGCCGCCGCCGUCGGCGUCUACCGCCUCAUCCAGUACGACCUCGCCGGCGCCCCGCUCGGCUCCCGCGCCGCCGCGCUCAACCACCACGCCGCCGCCUUCCCGCUCCCCGCGGGGGCUGACCUCUCCCGCUCCGCGCUCGUCGCGCCGCUGCUCGACCUCCCGCUCUCCUUCCUCCGAGAGUACCUGUCAGAGAAAAAACAUCUUGGAGGGUUGCUCAUUCUGCUCCCGAGAAACAUCAGCGCUAAGAAUGUUGAGGGAAACAACGAUGACAAGGGGGAACCAAAGAAUGUGCUGGCUGAGCUAGAAAAGUUGCUCAUGCAUGAAGAAGUGCCGUUUCCAGUGUACUUCGCUUUCCAUGAUGACAAUUUGGAUAACCUAUUGGCAGAUAUUCGUAAAAUUGCCUCUUCAGGCCAGCCAGCCUCUGCAUCAACAGGAGGAUACAAGCUUGUAGUGCCUUCUGCGGAACCUAAAAGGGUGUCAUCUCCAACCAUUUCAAAUAUCCAGGGAUGGUUACCUGGAUCGAGAGGAGAGGGUGAUGCUGAACAGCUUCCAACCAUUGCCAUAGUUGCAAACUAUGACACUUUUGGUGCUGCACCUGCGCUUUCCGUGGGAAGUGAUAGCAAUGGAAGUGGAGCUGUGGCUCUUCUAGAAAUUGCAAGGAUCUUUUCACGCCUCUAUUCAAGUCCUAAGACCAGAGGCAAGUUUAAUCUUCUCUUUGGAUUAACAUCUGGCGGACCCUACAAUUACAAUGGAACUAGCAAGUGGCUUAGAAGUUUCGAUCAGCGUGUACGCGAGAGUAUUGACUAUGCAAUUUGCUUGAAUAGCGUUGGUUCCUGGAGCAAUGAUCUCUGGAUGCAUGUAUCAAAGCCUCCAGAGAACCCUUACAUCAAGCAAAUCUUUGAAGAUUUUUCAGAUGUCUCCAAGGAAAUGGGCAUUUCAGUCGGCAUCAAGCACAAGAAAAUUAAUGUGUCAAAUUCUAGAGUAGCAUGGGAACAUGAGCAAUUCUCGAGGUUUAGGGUGACUGCGCUAACUCUUUCGGAAUUGUCUACACCUCCUGAAUUUUUGGAAAACACUGGUGGUCUGUACGACACUAGAGAAUCAGCAGAUGUUGAGUCAGUAAUGAGAACUGUCAAAUUAGUUUCUGAGAGUCUUGCGAGACAAAUCUACAGGUUGAGAGGAAGGAACAUUGAUGUUUUUGCUGAUAACAGCAGCUUAGCCAUCAGUCCUCACUACAUCCGGUCCUGGUUGGAUCUUUUUUCACGGACACCACGGGUUGCACCUUUUCUUCAGAAGAAUGACCCCUUCAUUGUAGCACUUAAAAAGGAACUGUCCGAGCAUACAACUGAUGUGCAUGUUCAAAAUGACGUCCUUGAUGGCAUGUUCACUUUCUAUGAUGCAACAAAGUCAACUUUAAACGUAUACCAGGUUGCAAGUGUUACUUUCGACCUGUUGUUCCUUCUGGUGCUCGGUUCCUAUCUAAUUGUUCUCUUCAGUUUCCUAGUAAUCACAACACGGGGCCUCGACGAUCUCAUUAACAUAUUCCGGCGGCCUCCAUCACGUAAAGUCAAGGGAGCAUAG
rnacentral:rRNA from 1 species